UAGUGAAUAAAUUGCUUUGUUACUGGGUGAGUGCCAGGAUUGAAAAUGAAAGGUGCUUAUAAGUGAUGAAAUUGAAUUUUCAUAGUUGAUUAAAUUAAAGGAUUGGCGAAUUUUCUGUUUGUGCUAGUAGGUGUAGAGAGAAGACUUUGUUAUUGAAGCUAGAGUGAAGAAGUACCGUGAGGGAAAAUAAGUUUGUGUUUAAUGUUUUUUUUAGUAGGGGGUAAAUCCUGUACCUUUUGCAUCAUGGUUCUUUAAGAGGUUUUUUAAAUAAAGUUGGCCCGAAAGGAAACGAGCUAUUUUUGGGCCUGCGUCAUCGUUGUAAAGAUGUGCUGAGACUUAAAGAUAGGAGUGAUAUUCUUUUCGCGUUUUCUGAUAGCUGGUUAGUUGGGAAAGGCAUUAGAGUGCUGGCCUAAAUUUAUAAUUCUUGCUAGUAAGGUGCUUUGUUGUGCGUGAGUAUUUGGCAUUGGAUUUGUUAAAGUUAGGGCUUGCGUAAAAAAGGAUUAGCUUUUUUAUGUUGUUAAAAAAUGUGAAGUUUAUAGUUUUAAAAAUAAUUUAGUAGGCUUGGAGUUGGCCAUCUUUAAAGUUUGUUUUAAAAUAUUUAUUUGUUUGACUAAAAAUUCAUAGAUGUGUUUUUAAGUAAUUUGGUUGUACCAACUCUGCUAAUAUAAUUAGGAUUAUUUGUGGGAUAAUGAGGAAAUGAGUAUUUAUUACUGGUUUGGUUUGUCUUUAUUAAUUAAAGUAAGUAGACUGGGUUUAACUUAUGUAUUUGUAAAUAAUAUAAAUCUAGAAAAGGAACUCGGCAAAUGUCGGCCUCGCCUGUUUAGCAAAAACAUGGCUCCUUGAUUAAUAAGUGGAUAAGGAGUCGGACCUGCCCGGUGACCUACGGGUUAAACGGCCGCGGUACACUGACCGUGCAAAGGUAGCACAAUCACUUGCCUUUUAAUUGGAGGCUGGUAUGAAUGGUUUGACGAGAGCUAAGCUGUCUCUUCUGGAAUAUUUAAAAAUUAACUUCUAGGUGAAAAGGCUUAGAUUUAACUGAGGGAUAACAAGACCCUGUUGAGCUUUAGUGUGGGGUAAAGGCCUGUAUUUCUAGUUUUGUAGAAGGUCAAAGUUUAUUUUUACAUCUUUAGUUGGGGUGACUGGGGAACAUAAAUAGCUUCUCUGUUAAUUUAUUUAAUUGAAUUUGGCUAACUGGCUAAUGAUCCAGCAAUGUUGAUUAUCGGAAAAAGUUACCACAGGGAUAACAGCGUAAUCUUUCUGGAGAGUUCACAUUGAAAGAAGGGUUUGCGACCUCGAUGUUGGAUUAAGGUGUCCUGAGGGUGUAGCAGCUUUCAUUGGUUGGUCUGUUCGACCAUUAAAACCUUACAUGAUCUGAGUUCAGACCGGCGUAAGCCAGGUUGGUUUCUAUCUUCAGUUUAUGGUGUUUCUUUGACUAGUACGAAAGGACCGUUUUAAGACAAAUAUUUUAGUUUGUUAAGACUGAAUUUAUCUAAGUUCGGAUUGUUAGGGAUAAAAUUAAUAUUA
rnacentral:rRNA from 1 species